rnacentral:ncRNA from 1 species
AUGUGUGCGAGUCUUUGAGUGAUCGAAACUCCGAGGCGUAAUGAAAGUGAAGGCGACUUCGGUCGCUGAGGUGANGAGCCUUUUCCACAAAAAAAAGGCGCAUCAUUGACCGACCUAUUCUACUCUUAGAAAGGUUUGAGUAAGAGCGCAUCUGUUGGGACCCGAAAGAUGGUGAACUAUGCCUGAAUAGGGUGAAGCCAGAGGAAACUCUGGUGGAGGCUCGUAGCGAUUCUGACGUGCAAAUCGAUCGUCAAAUUUGGGUAUAGGGGCGAAAGACUAAUCGAACUGUCUAGUAGCUGGUUCCCUCCGAAGUUUCCCUCAGGAUAGCUGGAACUUACGGCAGUUUUAUCAGGUAAAGCGAAUGAUUAGAGGUCUUAGGGUUAAAACAACCUUAACCUAUUCUCAAACUUUAAAUUGGUAAGAAGUCCGACUUGCUUAAUUGAAGCCGGACAGUGAAUGCGAGUUCCUAGUGGGCCAUUUUUGGUAAGCAGAACUGGCGAUGCGGGAUGAACCGAACGCGCGGUUAAGGUGCCAAAGUCGACGCUCAUCAGACCCCACAAAAGGUGUUGGUUGCUCUAGACAGCAGGACGGUGGCCAUGGAAGUUGGAAUCCGCUAAGGAGUGUGUAACAACUCACCUGCCGAAGCAACUAGCCCUGAAAAUGGAUGGCGCUCAAGCGUCGCACCUAUACCGUGCCGUCGGAGCAGAUGCGAAGCUCCGACGAGUAGGAGGGCGUGGGGGUCGUGACGCAGCCUCUGGCGCGAGCCUGGGU